GACAGUGAUAGUGUCUAAUAUAUGAAUGUCUGGAUAUUAAAGCUUCAUCUGCCAUUUUCUCUGCAUUUGAGAUGAAGAUGAAAAAAAAGAAAAGAAAA